rnacentral:rRNA from 1 species
AACGAACGCUGGCGGCAGGCCUAACACAUGCAAGUCGAACGCCCGUAGCAAUACGGGAGUGGCAGACGGGUGAGUAACGCGUGGGAACGUGCCCUUCGGUUCGGAAUAACUCAGGGAAACUUGAGCUAAUACCGGAUACGUCCGUAAGGAGAAAGAUUUACCGCCGAAGGAUCGGCCCGCGUCGGAUUAGCUAGUUGGUGAGGUAAUGGCUCACCAAGGCGACGAUCCGUAGCUGGUCGAGAGGAUGAUCAGCCACACUGGGACUGAGACACGGCCCAGACUCCUACGGGAGGCAGCAGUGGGGAAUAUUGGACAAUGGGCGAAAGCCUGAUCCAGCCAUGCCGCGUGAGUGAAGAAGGCCUUAGGGUUGUAAAGCUCUUUUCAGCGGGGGAANAUAAAUGACGGUACCCGCAGAAGAAGCCCCCGGCUAACUUCGUGCCAGCAGCCG